rnacentral:lncRNA from 1 species
CAAUCUGGCCACCUUUCUGGAGAGACUGCAUGGAAAGGCCAGAUGACGAGGAAUAAUUUGAUCCUACUUGGACAGAAAAGCCCAGCCUGACAACUGACCACAGCUUUCAAGAUAUCUACCACCUAGAAAAAAAGGAUGUCAACUGCUUCUGCAUACACCACAAGAUCACCAAGUUCUGGAAGAAGCACACAACUUUCUCUGCAGCAAGAAGAGCUAUUAUAGAGAACAAGUUGAACAAAUACUGCAACUAGAAAAGGCUGUUUAAAUGAGCAACCUCAACUGAUUUUUUGAAAAUGAUGCUAAAUAACCCAUUGUACCCAAAAAGGGAAAAGCAAACAGAUAAAAUCACAACCUACACCGUGAAAAAUAUCCCAAAGUGAAAAAGCAGUUAUAUAAACAGCUAGUGAAAA